rnacentral:rRNA from 1 species
AGAUUGAACGCUGGCGGCGUGCCUAACACAUGCAAGUCGAACGAGAAAGGGGUAGCAAUACCCUGAGUAAAGUGGCGCACGGGUGAGUAACACGUGACUAACCUACCCUUGAGUGGGGGAGUAACUGAGGGAAACCUUAGCUAAUACCGCAUAAUACCCACGGGUCAAAGGAGCAAUUCGCUCGAGGAGGGGGUCGCGGCCGAUUAGUUAGUUGGCGGGGUAAUGGCCCACCAAGACGAUGAUCGGUAU